AGAGUUGGAUCUGGCUCAGGACGAACGCUGGCGGCGUGCUUAACACAUGCAAGUCGAACGAUGAUGCCCAGCUUGCUGGGUGGAUUAGUGGCGAACGGGUGAGUAACACGUGAGUAACCUGCCCCUGACUCUGGGAUAAGCGUUGGAAACGACGUCUAAUACUGGAUAUGAUCACUGGCCGCAUGGUCUGGUGGUGGAAAGAUUUUUUGGUUGGGGAUGGACUCGCGGCCUAUCAGCUUGUUGGUGAGGUAAUGGCUCACCAAGGCGACGACGGGUAGCCGGCCUGAGAGGGUGACCGGCCACACUGGGACUGAGACACGGCCCAGACUCCUACGGGAGGCAGCAGUGGGGAAUAUUGCACAAUGGGCGAAAGCCUGAUGCAGCAACGCCGCGUGAGGGAUGACGGCCUUCGGGUUGUAAACCUCUUUUAGUAGGGAAGAAGCGAAAGUGACGGUACCUGCAGAAAAAGCACCGGCUAACUACGUGCCAGCAGCCGCGGUAAU
rnacentral:rRNA from 1 species